rnacentral:rRNA from 1 species
CAGUAGCCGCGGUAAUACGAAGGUCCCAAGCGUUGUUCGGAAUCACUGGGCGUAAAGGGAGCGUAGGCGGCGUGGUAAGUCAGAUGUGAAAUCCCGGGGCUCAACCCCGGAACUGCAUCCGAUACUGCCAUGCUUGAGGGUUGGAGAGGUAGCUGAAUUCUCGGUGUAGCAGUGAAAUGCGUGGAUAUCGAGAGGAACACUCGUGGCGAAGGCGGCUUACUGGCUCAUACUGGACGCUGAGGUGCGAAAGCGUGGGGAGCAAACAGGAUUAGAGACCCCCGUAGUCCCUGUCUCUUAUACA